GAUGAACGCUAGCGGCAGGCUUAAUACAUGCAAGUCGAGGGGUAGCAAGAUUGUAGCAAUACAAUUGUUGACGACCGGCAAACGGGUGCGGAACACGUACACAACCUUCCUACAAGUGGGGAAUAGCCCAGAGAAAUUUGGAUUAAUACCCCGUAACAUAGCGAUGUGGCAUCACAUUGCUAUUAUAGCUUCGGCGCUUGUUGAUGGGUGUGCGGCUGAUUAGAUAGUUGGCGGGGUAACGGCCCACCAAGUCUACGAUCAGUAGCUGAUGUGAGAGCAUGAUCAGCCACACGGGCACUGAGACACGGGCCCGACUCCUACGGGAGGCAGCAGUAAGGAAUAUUGGACAAUGGACGCAAGUCUGAUCCAGCCAUGCCGCGUGAAGGAUUAGGGUCCUCUGGAUUGUAAACUUCUUUUAUAAGGGACGAAAAAAGGUCUUUCUAGAUCGUCUGACGGUACCUUAUGAAUAAGCACCGGCUAACUCCGUGCCAGGAGCCGCCGUAACAC
rnacentral:rRNA from 1 species